GCUUCCUGUGCUCAGCUGAGCUGUGUGUUCUGUGGUGGCAGCAUGACUCCAGAACACGAGUUAGAUAGUGAAGAUGACGAGGCUCCGGACGAGGUCACUUUCCAGAAUGCUAGAAGCCGGGCGGAGGAGAGCGACCGUGUGAGGAGGGAUGUGGCCAAGAGAGAGAAGGCCCUCUUAAAAGAGAAGAGGAAACGCAAGCAGGAGCUUUUCAGCGAGCAAAAG